CGGCAACAGCUCAAAUUUGAAAUCUGGCCCUUGUGGUCCGAGUUGUAAUUUGUAGAGGAUGCUUUUGGUGCGGUACCUUCCGAGUUCCCUGGAACGGGACGCCAUAGAGGGUGAGAGCCCCGUCUGGUUGGAUACCAAUCCUCUGUAAAGCUCCUUCGACGAGUCGAGUAGUUUGGGAAUGCUGCUCAAAAUGGGAGGUAUAUGUCUUCUAAAGCUAAAUAUUGGCCAGAGACCGAUAGCGCACAAGUAGAGUGAUCGAAAGAUGAAAAGCACUUUGAAAAGAGGGUUAAAUAGUACGUGAAAUUGUUGAAAGGGAAGCGUUUGUGACCAGACUUGGGCUUGGUUAAUCAUCCAGCGUUCUCGCUGGUGCACUUUGCCAGCCCAGGCCAGCAUCAGUUUGCUGCGGGGGAUAAAAGUUUCGGGAAUGUGGCUCCUCGGAGUGUUAUAGCCCGUUGCACAAUACCCUGUGGUGGACUGAGGUUCGCGCAUCUGCAAGGAUGCUGGCGUAAUGGUCAUCAACGACCCGUCUUGAAACACGGACCAAGGAGUCGUCUUCGUAUGCGAGUGUUCGGGUGUCAAACCCCUACGCGUAAUGAAAGUGAACGGAGGUGGGAGCCUCGGCGCACCAUCGACCGAUCCUGAUGUUUUCGGAUGGAUUUGAGUAAGAGCAUACGGGGCCGGACCCGAAAGAAGGUGAACUAUGCCUGUAUAGGGUGAAGCCAGAGGAAACUCUGGUGGAGGCUCGCAGCGGUUCUGACGUGCAAAUCGAUCGUCAAAUAUGGGCAUGGGGGCGAA
rnacentral:rRNA from 1 species